UGUAAAUCUCCAGAUAAAGCCUGAAGCUUAACUCCAGAAAGUCUGAAGAGACUGCAAGACUUGAGAUCGGGUGAGGUUAAACGUACUUUCAGGGUAGGGGUAAAAUCCUGUAAUCCCGGAAGGACGACCAGUGGCGAAAGCGUUUAACUAGAACGAAUCUGACGGUAAGGAACGAAGGCUAGGGUAGCAAACCGGAUUAGAUACCCGGGUAGUCCUAGCUGUAAACAUUGCCCAUUUGAUGUUGCUUUCCCGUUGAGGGAAGGCAGUGUCGGAGCGAAGGUGUUAAAUGGGCCGCUUGGGAAGUAUGGUCGCAAGACUGAAACUUAAAGGAAUUGGCGGGGGAGCACCGCAACGGGAGGAAUGUGCGGUUUAAUUGGAUUCAACGCCGGAAAACUCACCGGGAACGACCUGUGCAUGAGAGUCAACUUGACGAGCUUACUCGAUAGCAGGAGAGGUGGUGCAUGGCCGUCGUCAGCUCGUACCGUAGGGCGUUCACUUAAGUGUGAUAACGAGCGAGACCCACAUCUUUAAUUGCAAAUGUAUAUGGGAAUAUGCAUGCACUUUAGAGAAACCGCCAGCGCUAAGCUGGAGGAAGGAGUGGUCGACGGCAGGUCAGUACGCCCCGAAUUUCCCGGGCUACACGCGCAUUACAAAGAACGGGACAAUACGUUGCAACCUCGAAAGAGGGAGCCAAUCGCGAAACCCGUCCAUAGUUAGGAUUGAGGGCUGUAACUCGCCCUCAUG
rnacentral:rRNA from 1 species